rnacentral:rRNA from 1 species
AACGAACGCUGGCGGCAGGCUUAACACAUGCAAGUCGAGCGCCCCGCAAGGGGAGCGGCAGACGGGUGAGUAACGCGUGGGAACGUACCCUUUGCUACGGAAUAGCUCCGGGAAACUGGAAUUAAUACCGUAUGUGCCCUACGGGGGAAAGAUUUAUCGGCAAAGGAUCGGCCCGCGUUGGAUUAGCUAGUUGGUGGGGUAAUGGCCUACCAAGGCGACGAUCCAUAGCUGGUCUGAGAGGAUGAUCAGCCACAUUGGGACUGAGACACGGCCCAAACUCCUACGGGAGGCAGCAGUGGGGAAUAUUGGACAAUGGGCGCAAGCCUGAUCCAGCCAUGCCGCGUGAGUGAUGAAGGCCUUAGGGUUGUAGAGCUCUUUCACCGAUGAAGAUAAUGACGGUAGUCGGAGAAGAAGCCCCGGCUAACUUCGUGCCAGCCGCCGCCGUAACAC